CCGAGUUUACAACUCCCAAACCCCUGUGAACAUACCACUCGUUGCCUCGGCGGAUCAGCCCGCUCCCGGUAAAACGGGACGGCCCGCCAGAGGACCCCUAAACUCUGUUUCUAUAUGUAACUUCUGAGUAAGACCAUAAAUAAAUCA
rnacentral:misc_RNA from 1 species